CUCAAUAUCAUGUUUUCCAAAUGGUGCCAAUUUCUGGAAAACCCUAUGGCGCCAUUUGCAUCAUAUGCCCAUUUACUUCAUUAAUGAAAGUGCAUGCUUACUUGAAUAAAAGAGUCAUGCUUACUUAGAUGAUGCUAUGUGGUCAUUUAAGAGCUCAUUAACCAAGACUAAGGUCCAACUAUCAACUACUUCAUUAAAUGGAUCACCUCUUUUCCCUUGCUAUUUAAAAGAACAAAGUUCGCAUCAAAUUACUUUUGAUAGUUAGAUAAAAAUCAUUAUGUUUUCAAACUUUGUAACAUAAGGAUCUAGAUGUCGAGUUUGGAGAACUUUGCCAUGUUUGCAAAUGAUCAAGAUGUUGUUGAUGUGUUAAUCCACUUGAAAGGUUUUUUGUUUUUAAAUUUUGUUUCGAUUUCGUAUUCUUAAAGGAUUUUCCGCUUAUUUUUUUGCUAUGGUUGUUGUACAGUUCUUCUUUUUUCGCAUCUAUUUUGUAAAACUCUAUACUUACAUUGUUCAUCUUAUACUACCAGUUUAGAAUAAUUCAAAUGGGGUUGUGUGCAAGACUGUUAGAAGUGGUUUGUUGGAAUUAAGGACAUUGCACAUGGAAUUUGACAUCAGCAUUGGAUGUAUAUUUCAAGCUUUCAAAUUUAUAUCUUCAUAAAAUGCAACUAUUCAUUAUUUAUAUGAAUACUAGACUUUUGAUACAUUAUGUUUUGAUAUUUUGAUACAAUGUAGAGUUUUGAUUCAUUCUGUGUUCAAAUUCCU
rnacentral:lncRNA from 1 species